GGGCUUGACAUGCUAAUCCUGGGUGCAUUGUGCCUGUUUUAAAAUUAUAUUUAAAAAUUUAGAUCAGGAGUUCCCAUCUCUGCUCAGCAGUAAUGAACCCAACUAGUAUCCAUGAGGACGUAGGUUCAAUCCCUGGCCUCACCCAGUGGGUAAGAAUCUGGCAAUGCUGUGAGCCGUGGUGUAGAUUGCAGAUGUAGCUCGGAUCCACAUUGCAGUGGCUGUGGUGUAGGCUGGCAACUGCAGCCCCUGUUGGACAUCUAGCCUGGGUACUUCUCUGUGCCUUCGGUGCAGCUCUAAAAAGCAGAAAAAACCCAAACAAAUCAAAAAACAUUAGAUCAAAUGGAUUUAUUGUGGAUACGCAGAGGCUUGAGCCCAGUAACCACUCUUAGAGCUAAUCGUUUAUUCAACUCCACACCCUUACUGCUCUCCAGCAAAUUUGACUGAGAGAUAGUCUAAGGAAAUGUGUUGGUGCCUUGGCAGAAUGCUGGGAAAAACACAGUUUCUGAGUCAAAACAGGCUUAAGUCCAAAUCUGGGUUCUUUCGUUCUCAUUCACUGUAUGUACUUAUCCUGCCUGACCCUGAGGUUCCUCAUCUAGAUAAAGCCUACCUAGUAGAAGUGUUGGGAGCCUUGCAGGAAGUUCCCUGUAUGAAACUCUGAGCCCCUCAUUUGGUGCACAGGAAGAACUUGGGAGCUAGAUGUUGGUAACCAUUCAUAAACACCCAAGUAAAUAUGUACAAACAUGUUAUAUAAUAAUGGUAUACAUUAUCUGCAAAUAAGUAUGAUGAAAAUAUCAACCAAGUGAAACUUCUUAAAAAUCUGGUUUUCACAAAAUGAGUUAGGAUUGAGUGGUUCUUAUAAUUGUAGGCUUUUUGGAGAACUUGAAGGAAAAUGGUGGUAUAGUUGGCAAAGCAAAGAACAUGGAUCCUAGUAAGAAAGAUUCAGCUGCCUACCAGCAUCAUAGCCCUUUCUUUGAGUAAGAUUCGUUUAACUGUUACUCCUCAUUGUACUUUAAAUGAAAAAUCUAAAUUAAACUGUAUAUGUGCUUUCUAAACCAUUGCCUCAAAAAAUGUUUCCUCACCCCCUUCUUUUGGAGACCCUUACACAUUGAUUGCAUUUAGUAGAAGUUAGAUCUAUAACUUUGAUGGUGACAUCUUUAAAAUGUCUCCAUGUUUGAGUACCUGCAUCAGUUUUUCUCAACAAGCAAGUUCCUGGAAGAAAUAAGUUGCAUUUUACUUUCUUUAAAGGAAAUGAUGUUACUAUAAGGAGAAAGAGGGAGAGGGAGGAGAGAGAUGAAUAGAACACUUCUGAUGCUCAUGGCCAUAAAAUAACCUUCCACUGUUCCUGUGGUCUUUUCCUCUCUUUUAGUCCUGGUGAACAUUGUUGUCUUGUGCUUUUAAGUCAGGGAGUGGUUAGGAACACAGGCUUAGACUUGAACCUGGGUUUGAGAUUAAAUGAGAUAAUAAAGGCAAAAGGCUUUGCUCAGUGCUAAGCUCCUAAAGGUAGUAGUCAUUUUGAGGACGGUUUCAUUCUCUUGUCCAAGGAGAUAGCUCAUGUAUUCUUUCAGAGAGAAACCUUUAAUCCUACUCACCCCAACACACACCUUCUGAGACCAUUCUACUUUCAACUCAAAAAACCUUUCACAUUUUUCUGGUUACUAUUUGGCUAGUACCCCAGCAUCCAUAGAACCAAUUAGACCUGCCUGCUGUUCUUAAAAAUGGGGCUGCAUUCUCUGUUAGGCUAGCAGGCUAUGUCUAAAUUCUGGGUAUGUCAGGGCCAAACUAACAAGCAUGAAGCAUUUAGAGCCUCCCAACUCAGUGCAUGGAGAAGGUAGCCAUUGACCAGGAGUGGGCAUGGCUGUGUUCAGUAAAACUUUGUGGACACUGAUGUUUGAAUUUCAUGAAAUUUUUGUAUGCUGGGAAACAGUUUUAAGAAUUUUUCAACCAUUUAAAAGUGUUAUAUAUAGGUAAUGGCUCAUAGCAUAAGUCAGAAUUGGAUUUGACCCAUUCAAGGCUGUUAAAAGAGGGUCUGUUUCAUUUCGCAACUGUGGAGCAUUUGGCUUUGAGAGAUAGAAAAAUAAGAUCUUUACUUUCCAGAAACUUAUGAGCAAACAGUGAGAAGAGGUCAGCACCCAUCUAUAAUAAUCAUCAGUGAUAGGAACUUUAAUAGAAGCAUCAGGUAUGGAAUUAAAAAGGAGAAAUGGUUUUAGUUUAUUUUCAAAGAUUCUUUCAUAAGGCUCAAAUUUAUCAAAAAUAUACUUGCUGUGUCCUAGAAAAACAGGAGGUAGAAAGAUACCAAAUGGCCCUGACCUUAGGGAAUGGAGCUCAGAAUAAGUGUUUUACUACUGUUUCAUCAAGGGCAGCCAGUCUUUUGGUGCCUUCCCAUUACUUUAGUGAUGGAUGACAUCCAAAAUCCUUACUAUGUUCUGCUGUGAUCCUGUGAUCUGGCCAUGCCUAUAUCUUCAGCCUUCCAGGAUCUCUGGCCUUUUAGUUACUCGGAUUUCCCUUAGUAACUCAGGAUCCCUUGCCUAUAGACCUACUGCCACCCUCAUGUCUGAACACUUCUUCUGCUUCCUUGGUCCCAGUUUAAAUGCCACCUCUUCAUAGAACCCUUCCUUGAUGUUCCAGACAAAUUCCAGGGAUUUUCUUACUUGCUGUUAAGCCUGUAGGUAUUCAGGCACCCUGCUCUUAUUCCUUCAAGCACCUUUCUACUUCUUGUGUAGGAAUUGGUGGCUGUCUUCUCUACCAGAAGGUAAGUACCAUGAGAGCAAAGUACCUGUCUGUCUGUUUCACAGUUGCGUCCUCAGCCCCAAGCAUGGUGCUUAAUAUUGGUGAAGAAUAAAGAGUUGUAGAAGGAAGGAAAAAGAAUUGGUUUCUAGCCCUGACCCUCCUGCUCACCAGCUCCGUGAAUUUUGGUAUUUCACCACUAGAGUCUCCAUUUCUUAUCUGUAGAAUGGGAAUAAUGAUGACAGUGGCACUUGAAUGUGCUAGGCACUGUGCUUUACUGGUCUUACCUCCUCCAUUAAGCCUCAUGGGAGUGGUGAACUGAUUUUCUUGAGGUCACACAGUUUGAAAUAGAAAACAGGAUUUAAAUCCUGGUCUAAUUCCAAAAACUGAUUGUUUUUCUCCACGCCUAUGAUUGUCCUGGGGGUAAAUCCAGGAGGGGAGAAAUUCCUUGAUACAGGAUUGUAUGGAUGCCCCGGCUGGGAAUGUUGACAUUAAUGAGGAAGCCAGCUGGAGAACUCUUAAACCAGUUUUAGGGACAAUGUGUGGGAUUAACUCCAUUUAUUUAUUUAUUUUUUAUUUGUGACAGCAGAGGGCAUUUUUAUUUUUAACAGAUUUUUUCCCCCAACAUAUUAAAUUUUUUAUUAUACUUAAUUUACAAUGUUCUGUCAAUUUCUACUCUAAGAUUAACUCCAUUUAGAUGAAGUGACUUGUAAACUGAGCCUUGACUUCUAAACUGUAGUCAGUUGGAUGUAGAAGAGGCUUGUAGUGUGAAUGCCCUGAGGCAGUCACUGGGGCUGCUGAGUGAAGAGCCUUGCAAGUUGGGCCCAGAGUUGCUGGUAAAAUGCUUUAGGGAGACGUCAAUGGGUUUACUUACUAAAAAUAUUUUGGAAGCAGAAAGUCUCAAUUUGGAGUCUCUUUGGGGGCACAAGUGUCCAAAGCCCUCCCAGUUUGCAUCUCUGUAGCAAAGGAUGCAUUUCAGCUGAUUUUUUCCUUCCACUGUAGUACCCAGCACCAACGGUGUUUGAAAAGGAAUCGCCAGUGUGAGGUAAGGGAUGGAUGUUUUUGUUCAGUUGUUUGAUAUGAUUCUUUUGUUGUUUGUUAUGGUUUUUCUUCUAUAAGAGUAGGUUACCUAGCCCAGAUAGGUGGCACCUGUGCACAGGUUACCUUACCUUUGUAGCCUCAGUUUCUCUUUUGGGAAUUAGGGACAGUUAAAAUAUCUACAUCAAAAAAUAAUAAUAAUAGAAAAAUAAAACAUCUACGUCAUAGGCCUGUUGUGUAAUAUCCACACAGUGCAUGGUACAAAAUAAGCUUUCAGGCAGUGUUAGCUGUUAUUGUUGUUAAUACUUCCUGUCCAUUCCCGUCUGCGGAUGGACAUUGUUUAUUUCUCAAAGACAGGUUGACUGGGGCAUAGAAACUGACUUUUUUUUUAAAGAUCAUGAUUUUAGGGUUUACAAAGAUAGUAAAAUUGGCAAUGAAAAGAGAAGGCAAUGAAACACCUUAGCUGAGCAGUCCCAGUGUUUCCUAGUUGUGUUUAUGAUGAAAUGUAAAAUGUGAUCACAAGCCGAUUCUUACAGAAUCCAUUGUGGGCUAGGGCUGUGCUCUCCAUGUAUUCUCCCUGAGAAGUAGUUUUGAUUUUAUCUAUUUUAUAGAUAGGAAGUUAUGAUCUUUUCUAAGAUGUUCUCAGACAACUAUAGAAGUAGCUGUUAACCAUUUGCUUCUCCAAACCCAUUUUGCACCUUUAGCAUUGUAAAGACCUGACUUAUCUUCCAACAACUUCAGCAGCUUGGCUGAGGGGGGAAAAUGGGAACAGAGCUCUUAAUUUUUUCUGACUCUAUUGAAUUAAUUGCAAGCACUAGGUAUAGUGUGCUAGUUAAUGCAUAGAAAAGGCUCAAAAAUGUUUAUUGAAUAUAAAUUUUAAUCAGAUUGAGUGAGAAAAAGAUGAUAGAGAAAAGCAGUAUUAGAUGCUGGUCUUGCCCUAUUUUGUAUUAAAAAAAAAGAGUGAUGGGAGUUCCUGUCAUGGUGCAAUGGAAAUGAAUCCAGCUAGGAACCAUGAGGUUUGCUGGUUGGAUCCCUUGCCUUGCUCAGUGGGUUAAGGAUCUGAUGUUUCCGUGAGCUGUGGUGUAGGUUGCAGAUGUGGCUUUGAUCCUGUGUGGCUGUGGCAGUGGCAUAGGCUGGCAGCUGCAGCUCUGAUUAGACCCCUAGCCUGGGAACCUCCAUGUGCCAUGGGUGCAUCCCUAAAAAGACAAAAGACAAAAAAAAAACAACAAACAAACAAACAAACAAAAAAAAAAAAACUGAGGACACCAAAGAUUUUAUGAGCAUAGUCUGUUUAUACAGACUAACAGUUGGAAUCUGAGGUGGAGAAUUUUCUUGUAUGUAUUGCAUAGUAUUAACUCUAGUCAGUGUGGUUCAGUUAUCUACAGAAAUCUGUUUACUUCCCAGUAGGUGCCUCUACUGCCCACGAAGCUCCUGGUUCUCUCUUUGUGUCGGGCAGAUUAGUUUAGUCUCAAGGAAGAUAAACUAUAUAACAUUAAAAUAUUCAGGCCAGGAGUUCCCUGGUGGCUCAGUGGGUUAAGGAUCUGGCAUUGUCACUGCUGUGACACUGGUUACAGCUGUAUUGAGGGUUUGAUCCCUGGCCCAGGAGCUCCCACAUGGCAUGGAGUGCGGCCAAACAAACCUCAGACCAAAAAUAAGAAGGUGUAGCUACUGCUAGAGGUCAUCAUCAGUGUAUUUCAUAGUUAGAUCUGACUGAUAUUAGUGUUUUCCUUUAACUCAAAGUAAUUAAGAGCAGACCUAAAGUAAAUAGCAUGUAAUGGUAAUGGGGGGAAAGGAGGAAACCUUGCAUACAACAGUAGGCCAGCUACAUGCAUUUAAUUCUAGAUUUUCACUCCCUCCCCACAACAACAGGAAAAAAAACCUUCAUUCCCUCCCUUUCUUCCUUCCUUCCUCCCUUCCCAUCCCUUCCCUUCCCUUUCAUAGGAGCUUCAUUGCAAUAAGGCAUUUAUUGGUCUUAUCAAACCUGAAAGUUUGGCCAGUCAGAUGAUAGUUUGAUUACUAAGCAUCUUCAUGAUUUAUCAUGUUAUGCCAUAAAACGAAGAUAAUAUUUGAGAUAAUUGUGUUAAUUUACUAUAGAACUAGUUCAUGUAGAAAUUUAAAUGUGUCCGACAUUAGAAGACUUUGAUAAGCACCAAUUCCCAUAUCUUGGUUUCUAAUACUAUUUUCCAAUAAAAGGAACCAGACAUGACUUAAUUCUGUGGCUAGGGCAGGGAAAUAAGCAAGAUGAGGCUGGAGCCUCCUCUAAUGCCAGAAAGCGAGAAAGUAACAAAACAACACAAAACAAAACACACAGAUAUAUAGCACAAUGAUGGAGUAGUCAAAGGGACACAGGAGCCAGAGAGAGCUCCCAGUGCUCACAGUUGAGGUGAUUUAUAAAUAAUAUAGUUUUAAAUUGUAGCCCAAUAUGUAAAACAAAUAAAAUAUAUAAUGUACAUAUAAUGCUAAUAUAAAUAUAUGUAAUAUAAAUAUAGAAAAAUAAUAUAGAACACUCACGAGUCUGUUCUGAUACAAAUGAGUGAUUGAAUAAGCAAAUAAUAAAUUUUCCACAUGCAGGAAUUCCAAGUGGUUUUUGUCGAUAAUCCCUCAAAAGGAAGUGAAACCUGACUGCCCAUCCCAUCAGUGUGGGCCUUGUAUAGUAACUUCCUUCCCUGGAGCACAGUGUGGAAAGGGGAGGGAGAACCUUCAUAGUGGAGAAACCUGACAGACACGACAACGACUUCAGCUACAUGAUCAAGUUAACAUGAACAGUGAUGAUGUGCGCUUGAUGUGAUGUAAUGAGGGUGGCACUUUAGCUGUGGGUCUACCACCCCAGUUCUGAUAAUCCUGUUAUAAUCAUGAGAAAAACCUUGGACAGACAAUUUAACACUUUCCACAAAAUACCUCACCAGUACUCCUUAAAACUGUUGUAAGAUUAUCAUAAAAGGAAAGUCUGAGAAACUCUCAGGGUCUAGAGGAGGUGUAAGGAGACAUGACAACUAAGUGUAACAUGAUAGAGAUGGAAUCCUGGUGCAGAAGAAGGGCAUUAGGCAAGAACUGGGGAGACCUGAAUAGAGCAUGGACCUCAGUUAUUAAUAAUGCAUCAAUAUUGGUUCAUUAGUUGUGACACAUGUGGCCCACUAACAUAAGAGGUGAACAAUAGGGGAAACGGGGUGCAGAAUAUGUAGAGAAUGUAAUCUUUACACCUUCUCAGCAAACUUAAAAUCAUUCUAAAAUUAAAGGUUUAUUUAAAAAAAAAAAAA
rnacentral:lncRNA from 1 species